AGCUCCGGCCACCGCCACCAGUUUGACCAGUCCGAGUCAGACCAGUGCCACCAGUUUGACCAGUCCGGCUCCGGCCACUGUGACCAGUUUGACCAGUCCAGCUCCGGCCACCGUGACCAGUUUGACCAGUCCCAGUCAAACCAGUUUGACCAGUUCGACCAGUCCAGCUCCGGCCACCACGACCAGUUUGACCAGUCCAGCUCCGGCCAGCGUGACCAGUUUGACCAGUCCGGCUCGUCCCAGUAUGACCAGCAUGGCUCCCAGUAUCACCAGUAACACCAGUACCAUCAAACCUGCGGCUCCCAGUAUAACCAGUACGAGCGUUCCAGCGGCUCCCAGUGCUCCCAGUACGACCAGUACGAGCGUUCCAGCAGCUCCCAGUAUAACCAGUAACGCCAGUACGAGCGUUCCCACGGCUCCCAGUGCUCCCAGUAUCACCAGUAACACCAGUACAACCGUUCCCGCGGCUCCCAGUGCUCCCAGUAACACCAGUACAACAGUCCCAGCAGCUCCCAGUAUAACCAGUAACACCAGUACGACGGUUCCAGCGGCUCCCAGUGCUCCCAGCGCCACCGUUCCCAGCGCGGCCCCGCCCACCGCUGACGUCACCGCUGACGUCACCAAGAGCUCCUCCUCCUCCUCCUCGAGCUCCUCCUCCUCCUCCUCCUCCUCCUCGUCCGACUCCGACUCCGACUCCGACUCCAGUUCCAGCUCUUCCGACUCCGCCCCGCCCUCGCCGGCCCCGCCCACCGGGUAAGGUCCCGCCCCCCUCGCGCCUUCCCAUUGGUCGGAUUGAAUCCCCGCCCCCUUUUCCCCACAUCUGGCCACGCCCCCUGUUCCUGAUUGGGUGGUUAGGCCACGCCCCCUUUUCCUUAUUAGGGGUUAGAAGGAGGGGUCAUGUGAUUGGGUGGUUAGGCCACACCCCUUUUUCCUUAUUAGGGGUUAAAAGGAGAGGUCAUGUGAUUGAGGUGGGUGUUGAGGCCACGCCCCUUUUCCCCUUAUUUGGGGUUUAUAGGAGGGGUCACGUGAUUGACAUGGGGUGUUAAGGCCACGCCCCUUUUCCCUUAUUAGGGGUUAAAAGGAGGGGUCAUGUGAUUGAGGUGGGUGUUGAGGCCACGCCCCUUUUCCCUUAUUUGGAGUUAAAAGGAGGGGUCAUGUGAUUAGCACUGGUGUUAAGGCCACGCCCCUUUUCCCCCU
rnacentral:lncRNA from 1 species